GCACCGGCUAACUACGUGCCAGCAGCCGCGGUAAUACGUAGGGUGCGAGCGUUGUCCGGAAUUACUGGGCGUAAAGAGCUCGUAGGUGGUGUGUCGCGUCGUCUGUGAAAUUCCGGGGCUUAACUUCGGGCGUGCAGGCGAUACGGGCAUACUUGAGUGCUGUAGGGGAGACUGGAAUUCCUGGUGUAGCGGUGAAAUGCGCAGAUAUCAGGAGGAACACCGAUGGCGAAGGCAGGUCUCUGGGCAGUUACUGACGCUGAGGAGCGAAAGCAUGGGUAGCGAACAGGAUUAGAUACCCUGGUAGUCCAUGCCGUAAACGGUGGGCGCUAGGUGUAGGGGGCUUCCACGUCUUCUGUGCCGUAGCUAACGCAUUAAGCGCCCCGCCUGGGGAGUACGGCCGCA
rnacentral:rRNA from 1 species